rnacentral:rRNA from 1 species
CCUACGGGAGGCAGCAGUGGGGAAUUUUGGACAAUGGGCGCAAGCCUGAUCCAGCAAUGCCGCGUGAGUGAAGAAGGCCUUCGGGUUGUAAAGCUCUUUUGUCAGGGAAGAAACGGCAGUUUCUAAUACAGAUUGCUAAUGACGGUACCUGAAGAAUAAGCACCGGCUAACUACGUGCCAGCAGCCGCGGUAAUACGUAGGGUGCAAGCGUUAAUCGGAAUUACUGGGCGUAAAGCGUGCGCAGGCGGUUUUGUAAGUUUGUCGUGAAAUCCCCGGGCUCAACCUGGGAAUGGCGAUGAAGACUGCAAGGCUAGAAUCUGGCAGAGGGGGGUAGAAUUCCACGUGUAGCAGUGAAAUGCGUAGAGAUGUGGAGGAACACCGAUGGCGAAGGCAGCCCCCUGGGUCAAGAUUGACGCUCAUGCACGAAAGCGUGGGGAGCAAACAGGAUUAGAUACCCUGGUAGUCCACGCCCUAAACGAAUGUCUACUAGUUGUCGGGUUUUAAUUAAACUUGGUAACGCAGCUAACGCGUGAAGUAGACCGCCUGGGGAGGACGGUCGCAAGAUUAAAACUUACAAAUUAGAAGUAGUUAGNGNGNGAGAGCGACGACGACGACGAGGAGGAGGAG